rnacentral:rRNA from 1 species
AUGCGCUUUGCGGUCCUGGGCAGCAACAUCGUCAUCGUCACCAACCCACGCUGUGGCCAGGCUCCCACACUUUUCUAUGAUACGAAAAGAACAGGACUCGCCGUCGGCCCUCCACUCCCCGGUCCACUGGUAGGUGACUUCCACACCUCCGUGGCCACUGCGGAUAUGCUGUAUGCGCUGAGUUUUCACCAUAGGAAUCAGCAGCACUCCUUUGAGGUGAUGUCUUGGGAAUCUCCAAAUCCUCAUACCAUGAGCUGGUCAUGGACAAGUGUGCCCUCACCACCCCCGUUCGAGGAGGAUGAAUGGAUCGCCUCCUACGCCGUGCACCCUGAUGGACGCACCAUCUUCAUGUCUGGGGUCAACAAGUACAAUCUCAAGCGCCGGACCUUCUCUUUCGACACCGGCUACUGCGAGUGGAGGUUUCAUGGGGAAUGGGCCUUGCCUUUCCAAGGCCAGGGCUACUAUGACAAGACGCUGGACGGAUGGGUUGGCCUUCACGAGGAUGGCUACAUCUGCGCCUGCCAAGUCGCCCCCCGCAGCCGCGCAAGUACCAUGCAGCCGGAGUGGAAGAUUGUCAAGGGGAAGUUGUUCCACAAGGUCCCGGAGAGGAAACGAGCGGCCUCAUAUGCCACUCUAACAUGCAUGGGCAAUGCCAGAUUUUGCCUUGUGGAGUGUGUGGUACGCGAGGAAGUGGAGUAUGAGGACGCCUUAGGUGAUUGUGAUGGUUGCAUGCUCCUUAUGACCAAGUUUGGCCUCAAGUACUCUCAUAAUGGAGAGUUGCAAACCAUCAAUCGCACCACCAACUCCUAUGUGUUGUCCAAGCAUAUCACCGGGUUUUCUCCUGUAGCCUUCUGGAUGUAG